rnacentral:misc_RNA from 1 species
UUAAUUUUCAUUCAAAAAUUAGAAUAACAUCAGACAAAAUCGUAAAGACAGGUUUGAUAUUUAUGCUGUCGGCAGGCUCACAACCCAACCGUUUAAGGCGAGCCAGCUGCCGAAGCGAAAAAAGUUUUUGAUUCACAAGAUGUUGAACUCUGCUCCGGGCUAACCCGGCACAAAGCGUGUCAAGAAGACAACUAUUAAUGAUCCUUCCGCAGGUUCACCUACGGAAA